CAUUAGCACUUUGCUUGUGAAAAUGGGAAGCAAAACGGUGAAGGAAGACUCCAUCUCCAUGGCCUCCUUUACCAAUUCUCUCUUCAUAGUGGUUGUCUUUCUAAGUUUGCUGCCCAACACCUCAGCAUACUUGCGUUACUCCUCUCCACGCUUCCCUCACCCAUUUCCACGCCGCUUUUCUCCACCUUCACGGCUUCACUACAAAUCACCACCAUCUCGUCGAUAUUUUCCUCUUCCUCCUCAGAAAAAACAUCACACGCCACCAGCGCCACCAACACCAUAUAAGAAAUCUCCACCUCCUCCUCCUGAGACCAACCAUACCACGCCACGAGCGCCACCAACACCAUAUAAGAAAUCUCCACCUCCUCCUCCUGAGAACAACCAUACCACGCCACUAGCGCCACCAACACCAUAUAAGAAAUCUCCACCGUCACCCCGUUUCCCUGGUGGACCCCCAAUUAAUCACGUACCUAAUUUACCUCAUUGAGAAAAGAGACAAGCGCCAACCAUAGAGAGGAAACUGUAUGGAGGCCAGUACUAGUCAAGAGAGGAUACUGAACUUAUAUUUAAAGAAUAAAGGGGCUCUCCUGGUUAUUUCUAUCGAUACAUACAUAUUUUGUAAUAAAAAUGAAAGGAUAAAUGUCCACCCAUGUUGUAAUUUGGUUUGUUUGCUUGUAUCUUUUGAUGAUUAUACUAGAAAUGAAUUCGUUUCUCUGAUUCAUGCAUA